AUUGAAACCAAAUUAUUUGAAGGACCCAAUGGAGGAUCAAUUGGAAAGGUCACUAUUACCAUUCAAACCAAAGGAGAUGCUCAACCCAACGAAGAAGAGGGCAAGGCUGCCAAGGCUAGAGGAGAUGCCUUUUUCAAGGCCAUUGAGAGUUACCUUUCUGCCAAUCCUGAUUACAACUAAACUAAACUCUGCCACUGAAGAAGAGCUUCCUUAUAUAAAGUUUCCUUCCAUGUUAUGUCUCCCGUUUGUGCUUUUAAGUUUGCUUCUUAUGUAAUGAUUAAUAAGUGCUCUUCUCUUUUCUUUUUCUGCAAAAAAGUGUGAGAUUUCGUGAGUUUGUAUAUUACUUCAUCAAUAAAUUAAUACAAAAGAAAUGUGAUUGGUUGAAAGAUUUUAUAUUUUAUUACAUAUGUUGAAAAUCAAAUUUAAACUAGACAUGAAUUCUUGAAGAUUGGAGCUUUUAUUUUUCAUAAGAUGAACGUGAAAAUAAUUACAAUAUGGAAAGAAGUAAUAUUAUUUGAGAAUACUAAACUAGUUUAUCACAUAUAUUAAUAUAUAUACGAGAAGGGAGAGCUAAGUCACAUUGUCAAGUUGCCAUAUAAGGAUUUAAGAUGUUUAAAAAACAUUUUUAUACAUGAAAAAGACUCAAAAGUUAUGUCUUGUAUUUAAAAUUAGUAAGAAUAAUUUUCUGUAAUAAAUUUAUCAGGGUGAAAAAGAGGAAUGGCUAUGCAUGCUAUAUGAAAACGCAAUACCACUUAACACUUUUAUCUGGAUCACUGCUUCUAGACCAAUAAAAGUUACACUUACUAGUUACUUUCUUAUGAAUGCUUGCAUACACCCACACAUGGUUUUUAAGCUGAUUUGAUUCCACACGGGUCCAUAUUUUACAAAUAAAUUUGUUAGCUUAAAGUUAAUAAAAUCUCGUUGAAAAUUAAGGUGCUAUAUUUAUUUCAGUAUAAUAUCUAUAUACUAACUGUAUAAAGAUUUACAUACAAUCAGUGCAUCAUUCAUCGUUCAUUUUGAAUUAUAUUUUUGAAGAGUUAAUAAUAAAUUAAAAUUAAUAAUAGAUAAUGUAAUGAUAGUAUCUAUUUAUUUAUAAAAAUAUUGUUCCAAUAUUCAGUCUGUGUUAUGUAAAAGAGAAAAAAAAAUGCAUACACUAAUGAUAUAUGAGUUUGAUAUUUGUCAUUGUAUAAUUUAUCAUUUAUAUUUAAUCAUUAUUGACUUUUCAAAAAAAUAAUAUAAAUGAUUAACGAGUAAUAUACUGCCUGCAUAUGAAUUUUUAUAAUAACAUUACAUAGAUAAUAGACUCCAUUUAAAAUUAAGUAUGAACAGGAUCUAACUACAUUAAAACUAUAAUGUAACUUCACAGCCUUGUACAAUCAUGGGUACGAACUGUAUAAGUUCAUUUUAAAAUGUUCUAAAAUAUUAUCGGAAAAAGAUAUUACACAAAUAUUUAUACCAUCAAUUCAUCAUCAACCAUUUAUAUUCAAUUAUGUUAUUAACUUUUAAAUAUAAAUAAUAUAAAUGAAUAAUGGAUUGUCUAUACAUAAAUUUUUAUCUUUACACUAAAUAUUACGUUCAUAUAUUAUUUCAUAUGACAUUUAUAUGGGUUCGUUUUGUCCCAUAUAGUUCCUCACUGUUCAUCAAAUUAUAGUAUUAUACGAACCGGCAAUAAUGAAUUGCUACGCUGAAUACGGCUUCUAUAAUUGAAUAUUUAUCCUUUGAAAACUCAAAUCCACCUGCUUUGACCACCGCUUUAAAUUCUUUAUACAAGACCAAAAGCUUUACUUUGAUUUUUAAUCAUAUUCAUACGUGACUAAUGGAACACGGGAAUCAGAGGUUAGAGAAAAAAAAAUAUAGAAACUUUUUCACCAAACAAUCACCUAUUAAAAAUUUAUAAUCAUUGCCUAAUUUAAAGCAUUAAUGUUUUUCAUUUCCUUUCAAAUAAUAGAACGGUGUAUUAAUAUUAAAUAAUAAAUAAAAAUGGAACGGUUUUUUUUAUGUUUCCAAAUGUAUCUUCGUACUAGAGACAAUCAUAUUUGAGUUGGGAAAAUUCCUAAAUAUAUGAUGUUAACUCUCCCAGUGGACGUUUUUUCAAUCUAUAAGACUCAAACCCAGGACUUUGCUUAAAAUAAAUCAAACAUGUACCACUUGAACUAACACAUAUCUGUAAAAAUGAAGCGAUUUAUGCCUUUUAUAAAUAUUAGUUAGUAUUUCGUGGAAUAAAUAUGUUUUACUUUAAUUUUAUUAUUUAUUCAAUUAUAUAGUAGUUACUAAUUAUUUAUUGGUGAAAAUUUGUAUCAUGUUUGUAAAAAUUAUAAUGUGACAUAUCAUUUUUUAUGAGUGUAAUAUAUAUACUGACAGUAUAAAGAUUUAUACAUAACCAAUGCAUUAUUCAUCUCCAUUUGGAUUACUUUUUUUGAAAAGUCAAUAAUAAUUAAAAAUGAAAGAUAGAUAAUAUAAUAACAAUGUAAAAACUCUUACAUUGUCAUUGCAUAAAUCUUUUUCUCUUUUUCAUUGUAAUCCAUCAUAAUUUAGUAAGAUAUUUAAGAGUAAAAUGGUAAAUACAUGCAUUUAUUUGAAUAUAAAAACUUAGAGAUUAAAAGAACUGUCAUAAAUAAAAAGAUCUAUAACUUUAUAUUAGUGACAUGAUCACUUCUUUUAAAUUUAAUUGUUCAAAUAGUUAAUAUUAAUUGUUCAUAUUUCUCAAAAUAACAAUUAUUCAUAUAUAUAUAUAUAUAUAUAUAUAUCAAAUUAUGUUGCAAAUGCUAUAUAUGAAUACCUUCUGGUCAAAUUUUGUAUAAAGUAACAAUCCAUUUAUUUAUUCUGUAUAACAUAUACCAAUAUAUUUUCAAAUUAUAACAUAUAUAUCAAAAUCAAGGCUCCUAAGUGUACAUCUCGUCACUUUUGUUGACAAUUAUGGCUCUUAUAUAUUAAUAAGUGGGUAGAUAUUAUCCCCAAUAGUGAAAUGAAAAGGAUAGGAGCCCUAAUAACCUCAAUAUUCAGCACCUAUCCACAAUGAGGCAUACAAGCAGAGCUACCUAUAAAUACAAGACAUUCAUUUGCUCAUAACUCACAACAGCCAUUCUAACAUCUUCUUCUCACAUAUCCUUUCAUUAAUUCUUCCUCCUUUUACUAAUUAAUUUCUAAGCAUGGGUGUUUUUACAUUUGAGAAUGAGUCCAUUUCUAGUGUGGCUCCUGCUAGGCUUUACAAAGCUUUGGUAACAGAUGCUGACACCAUCAUCCCAAAGGCUGUUGAAGCCAUCCAAAGUGUUGAAACUGUUGAGGGUAACGGUGGCCCUGGAACCAUCAAGAAGCUCACUUUGAUUGAGGGUUAGUAUAUUAUCCCAUAUAUCUUCUUCAUGCAUAAGAUAUAUGCUCAUGACAUAUCAUUAUACAAGGGAAAUUUCAGUUUCCUUUUAGUGUUUGUGAUGCUAUUUUUACGCAUGCUAAACUUUUAUUACAAAUACACAAACAUUUAUAGAACAAAGUCUAAGUUUUGCUCAACUCUAUAUAUAUUGAUUAGAAAAUAGCACAACUAACAAACAUUUUACCUAACAAGAUCUAAGUUUUUUGUUUAACUGUAUAUUUAUUAUAUCAACUAAGUCUAAAAACCAUUUAACAAAUUAAGAUGAUGAUGUUUAUGGAUGUUUGAUAUUUUUAUUGAGCAGGUGGGGAAACCAAGUAUGUGUUACACAAAAUAGAAUCAAUUGAUGAGGCAAACUUGGGAUAUAACUACAGCAUAGUUGGGGGAGUUGGGUUGCCAGACACAGUAGAGAAGAUAUCUAUUGAAACCAAAUUAUUUGAAGGACCCAAUGGAGGAUCAAUUGGAAAGGUCACUAUUAACAUUCAAACCAAAGGAGAUGCUCAACCCAAUGAAGAAGAGGGAAAGGCUGCCAAGGCAAGAGGUGAUGCUUUUUUCAAGGCCAUUGAGAGUUACCUUUCUGCCCAUCCUGAGUACAACUAAAUUGAAUUCUAUCACUGAAGAAGAGUUUCCUUAUAUAAAGUUCUCUUCCAUGUUAUGCAUCUUGUGCUUUUAAGUUUGCCUUUAUGUAAUGAUUAAUAAGUGCUCUUCUAUUCUCUUUCCUUUUUUAUGCAAAAGUGUGAGAUUAUGUGGAUUUGUAUUCCAUUUCAUCAAUAAAUCAAUACAAAAAAUUACAAGGACCUUCGUAAUCAUGAUGGUUAAAAUCGAAAUUUUACUUAAAAUUAGGAUGGAGUCAAAUAUCAUAAAUGUAUGAUCAUAACACGAUUCAUAAGAUUUUACUUAUUAAUAUAUAUAUAUAAACUCAUAUAGUAAAAAAUCUCAUAUUACAACCCAAUCCUUAUUUUUUGAUAUAGUUGCUGAAUAGGAUAAAUUAGUAAAAUGAUCAAUAUUUUAAAGAAUAAAACUAAAAUUUUAAAAAAUUUCAUAUAACAACCCAAUUUCUUUUUGAUAUGCUAGCUAAAUAAAAUAAAUUAAUGAAAUAAUCAUUAUUUUAAAGAAUAAAACUAAGAUGGUAAAAAAGUCCAUAUUACAGUACAUUCCUAAAUAACCCACAUUUUAAAGAAUAAAAAGAUUGCAAAAUACACAUAUUACAUUCUACCCAAACCUUAUUUUUCCUAGGGUUGCCAAUUACGGUUCCUAACUUUUCCCUCCGGUCGUUUUCAUUCCUCCUUUCAUUUCAAGCAUGUCAUGGUUGCUAUAUGAUGGAUCUCAUGACGAGAACAAGAAGGUUCGAUGUUUUUUUGCUCCAUGUUUCUAUCUUUCUACUUCAUUUAUGCAUCUUAUGAAUCAAUAAAAGAAGUUUGCUGAAUUGAGAGGGAGGGAGAUGGAAAAAGUUGGAAGAGAAGAUUGAGUAUAAGAUCAAUGGGAUCAUGAAUUCAACCGAUCAUACAUUCCAACAUGGUGAUCUCACACGAUCUCGGGGAAACAUGCCCAAAACUGAGAUAGGUUUAUUCCAUGUAAUAUAAUUUUCUUCCAUGUUAUAUCUAGUUUGUGUUUUUAUGUUGGCUUCCUAUGUAAUGAUCAAUAAGUGCUCUUCUCUUUCCUUUGUCAUAUUCCAUGAGUUUGUAUUUCAUUUCAUCAAUAAAUUAAUAAAAAAAUUACAAACAUUAUCUCACUGGUUAAAAGAUUUUAUAUAUUAUUUCAUAUAAGGNAAGAUGGAUGGGAUCAUGAAUUCAAUUGAUCCCACUUUCCAACAUGGUGAUCUCACACGAUCUCGGGGAAACAUGCCCAAAACUGAGAUAGGUUUAUUCCAUGUAAUAUAAUUUUCUUCCAUGUUAUAUCUAGUUUGUGUUUUUAUGUUUGCUUUCUAUGUAAUGAUCAAUAAGUGCUCUUCUCUUUCCUUUGUCACAUUCCAUGUGUUUGUAUCUCAUUUCAUCAAUAAAUUAAUAAGAAAAUUACAAACAUCAUCUCACUGGUUAAAAGAUUUUAUAUUUUAUUUCAUAUAAGGAAAAUCAAAUUUAAGCUAGACAUGAAGAAACAUGAAUACUUGAAUAUUGGAGUUUUUAUUUUUCAUAAGAUAAAUGUGAAAAUAACUCCAAUAUGAAAAGAAGUAAUGUUAUUUGAGAAUACUAAACAAGUUUGUUAUAUAUACAAGAAGGGGGAGCUAACUCACAUAGUCAUGUUGCCAUAUAAGGAUUUAAGAUGUUUAAAAACAUUUUUAUAUGUGAAAAAUAAAAAAAACAACUAUGUAUUGUAUUUAAAAGUAGUAUGUAAAAUUUUAAAUAGUUUUAAUGCAUUUAAUGUUUGAUAGCAAAGAACUGAAUAAGUUUAUUUUAGAAUGUUCUAAAAUAAAUAUACUAGUUUUUACAUUGUCAAUUCAUCAUCAACUAUUUAUAUUCAAUAAUAUUAUUGACUUUUAAAUAUAAGUAGUAAAAAUAAGUAGUUAUAUAUUAACUUUAUAUAUUGACAAUGUAUAAAUAUUCCAUUCAUAUAUUAUUUGAUAUGACAUUUAUAUUGGUUAGUUUUUUCUCAUAUAUUUCCUCACUAUUCAUCAAAUUAUACGACCGGGCAAUAAUGAAUUGCUACGCUGAAUAAGGCUUCUGGAAUUGAAUAUUUAUUCUUUGAAAACUCAAAUCCACCUUCUUUGACCAACGCUUGAAAUUCUUUACACAAGACUAAAAGCUCUACUUUGAUUUUCAAUCAUAUUUCAUCCAAUCAUACGUGACUAAUGGAACACGGGAAUCAGAGGUUAGAGAAAAAAUUAUAGAAACCUUUUCACCAAACAAUCACCUAUUAAAAAAUUAUAAUCAUUGCCCAAAUGUUGUAAAAACUGGUUCAUACCAACUGGUUCAACGAGUAAGCUGGUUCAACGAGUAAGCUGGUUCAACAGGUAAACUGGUGAAUCGGUCCCUAUAUUCGUAUGGUAUAAUAAUUAUAUCUAUCAUACAAUCAUACUGGCCAAAACGUGCAAAACUGAUCGGUUUUCAAUUGAACUGUACCAGUCAUACCUGCCAGUUUUAUUUAAAAUUAAUUUUUUAAUGAAAAUAAAAAAUUAUUGGUUUCUUAUUGAUUUUUCAACAUUAAUGUUAAUAUAUUAUAUAUGUAUAUUUAAUUUCGCUGAUAUGCAGUUUAAUUAGUUAACCACCGAUUGAACCGUUAUAUCACUAUACUGGUACCCUAACCAAUUUGGUGACCGGUAUGAUAUUAAUAACACUGCCUAAUUUAAAGCAUUAACGUUGCAUUCAUAUGAUUAAGAACACGUAUGUUACUCGUGCAUUGACAUGGUUAAAAAUACACAUGUUACAUGUUUAUUCUCAUUCACAUGUUACAUGUUUAUUCACAUUGCUAAUAAAACACAUGUUACUCGUGCAUUCAUAUGUUAAAACACACAUGUUACCGUUAAGAACACAUUUGUUACAUGUGUAUUUUUCUGUUCAAACACAUAAGGAAAAUAAAUAACAAUUUCAAAUUUGAAUCUUUUAUUGAAAAUAGGAAAUCGAAACAUGAUACUAUAUGAUUUUUUUUUAAAUAAAUGUUUUAAAAGUUGUAGAAAUAAAAUGAAUUUUUCAAUAAAAAUAUAGAAAUCAAAUCAUGAUACUAUAUGAGUAUUUUUUAUUAAAAAAAUAUUUAAAAGUUAUAAAAAACUUCAAUUUUGAAUUUGAUUAUUUAACUAUAAUAGAGAAAAAUUAAAAUUUAAAGAAUUUGAACUGUGAUAUUAAAAUUCAGUCGGAAAAGUGUCACAAAGCUUUGAUAUGAUGAAAAAUAUAAUAAUUCUUAGAGUAUUGAUAAAUGUUAAAUAAUAUAUAUAGAUUAAUACAAAUAUUAAAUGAGGUGAAACUGUAUAGAUUUUUUAAUUAAAAUUAAAUAAUUACAUAAGUGAAUGUGAAAUGAUUAUAUUAAGGUUUUGUUACCAAAAUUGUGAUCAUAAGAUUUACAUGCUUGUGCAUCCUACUGUUCUUCCAUCAAGAUUUAUACGAAGUUACACACUUACACCCUCAUGUCGGAGAUGAAGAGGUAAGGAUGAGAUUAAGGAAUAGUGGAAAGACAAAGAGGUAAUAGUAGAACUGAUGAAAUGGAAAAGAGAAAUAGUAUGGAUGUGAAAAAAGAUUUCAAUUCACUCUAAUGUUCGAUGAUCAAUACUUUUUAAGAUAAUAAAACAUAUGGGUCAAUCACUAAUUAGCAUUAAAACAUUAAAAUAUAAAAUGUACAAAAAGUGAGGAUGUAGUAUAAAAAUAUACAUAGUAGUAACAUAUAACCUUUUAGAAGGGAAAAAAGUGAGGAGGAAGUGAUAUAUGACUUGAAUGAGUUUUUUAUUAUAUAGUUAAUAGAUUAUGUUGCAAAAGCUAUAUAUACUAGUACCUGGUCAAAUUUUGUACAAAGUAAUAAUAUAUUGUUUAUUUUAUAUAACAUAUACCAAUAUAUUUACAAAUUACAACAUAUAUAUCAAAAUAAUGGCUCCUGAGUGUACAUCUCGUCCCUUUUGUUGACAAUGGGUAGAUAUUGUCCCCAAUAGACAAAUGAAAAGGAUAGGUGGCUAACAACCUCUAUAGUCAGCACCUAUUCACAUACAAGAAGAGAUGCCUACAAAUACAAGGGACUCCUUUGCCCAUAAAUCACACAACAAUCAUUCUAACAUCUUCUUCUUAUAUAUCUUUCCAUUAUUCUUCCUCCUUUUUGCUAAUUAGUUUCUAAGCAUGGGUGUUUUUACAUUUGAGAAUGAAUCCACUUCUACUGUGGCUCCUGCUAGGCUCUACAAAGCUUUGGUAACAGAUGCUGACACCAUCAUCCCAAAAGCUGUUGAAGCCAUCCAAAGUGUUGAAACCGUUGAGGGUAAUGGUGGCCCUGGAACCAUUAAGAAGCUUACUUUGAUUGAGGGUUAGUAUAUUAUAUCUUCUUCAUACAUAAAAUAUAUGGUCAUGGCAUAUCAUUACACAUGAGAAAUUUUAGUUUUCCUUCCGCGUUUGUGAUGCUAUUUUUACCCACGCUAAAUUUUUAUUACAUAAAAGCAAACAUUUAUAGAACAAGAUCUAUGUUUUGUUUAACUGUAUAUUUAUUAUAUCAAUGAAAUCUAUGAAUUACUAAACCAAUUAAGCUGAUGAUGUUUAUGGAUAUGAUAAUCAUAUUGGGCAGGUGGGGAAACCAAGUAUGUGUUACACAAAAUAGAGACAAUUGAUGAGGCCAAUUUGGGAUAUAACUACAGCAUAGUUGGUGGAGUUGGAUUGCCAGAUACAGUGGAGAAGAUAUCAAUUGAGACCAAAUUGGUUGAAGGAGCCAAUGGAGGAUCAAUUGGAAAGGUCACUAUCAAGAUUGAAACCAAAGGAGAUGCUCAACCCAAUGAAGAAGAAGGCAAGGCUGCCAAAGCAAGAGGAGAUGCUUUUUUCAAGGCCAUUGAGAGUUACCUUUCAGCCAAUCCUGAUUACAACUAAACUCAACUCUAUUAUUGAAGAAGAGCUCCCUUAUAUAAUGUUUUCUUCCAUGUUAUCCGGUUUGUGCUUUUAAGUUUGAUUCAUAUGUAAUGAGUAAUAAGUGUUCUUCUCUUCUCUUUCCCUUUUUUGCAAAAGUGUGAAAUUCCAUGAGCUUGUAUUUCACUUCUUCAAUAAAUUAAUACAAAAGAAAUUAAAAAGCACCAUCUUAGCAUAAAUAUGAUUAUUUGAAAGAUUUAUAUAUUUUAUUGCAUAUAUCUAAAAUUAUGUUUAAACUGGACAUGAAGAAAUAUGAAUUCUUGAAAGUUUAAGUUUUUAUUUUUAUUUUUUUAUAAGAUAAACGUGAAAAUAAUUGCAAUAUAAAAAGACUUAAUGUUAUUUAAUUUGGAAGUACUGAACUAGUUUGUUGUAUACAUUAAUAUAUACAAGAACAUAGAGCUACACUCACAUACUCAAAAACAUUUUUAUACGUCAAAAGGACAUGAGAGAAUUAUAUCUUGUAUUCAAAAGUAGUAAGAAUAUUUUUCUACAAUAGAUUUUAACAGGGUGGAAAUAAGAAGGAAAGAAGACUUAAUUAAUGGAUAUCGAUGCUAUAAGAAAACUUCAUACCAAUUAAUCUUUUAUCCUAUCCCACCAUUGUUUUUAUACAGGGUAUUAUUAAAUUUGGACUAAUCAAUGACUUGAUUAGGGAAUUAAGUCAAUUAGUUAUUGGUUGGACCAUCAAAUCAUUUGGACAUGUUGACUUAGUUUUCUUAAAAAAACUAAAAUAUCAUAAUAAUAGUUAACAUUAUUUAAUAACUAUAUACCCAAAAUAUAAAAAACAUUAUUAUAACUAUUAAAUAGUUAACAAAGAAGAUUUUACUACUACCAAAUGCUCAAAUAAGUUGGAAAUGUCCUGAAACAAAAUGUGUUAUGCUUUUUUUUGGGGUCCAAAUGUGUGUUUUGCUUUUUUUUGGAGUGCAAAUGUGUGCUAUGCUUUAAUAUAACAAAAGUGGACAAUAAGUAUAAAUUUAAUUAAACAAUCAAAGUUUUGCUAACACAUAAGUCAUUAAAUGACAACCAUAAUUAUAAAUAAGUUUAAAAUAUUUGAUCUUUUUUCAUCUCAGUACAACAUAGUUUUGAUUGUUUUUAAAAUUUUUUUAUUGAUUUGUUCGAUUCAACCAGUCCGACCAUCUAAACUUAUUUUAGGCUUAAAUCGUCCGAGUCGAACUGAGUCAAUCUGAUUUUUAUUCAAAACCAGUUAUAAAAGAGACUUGGACUGGUUAGAUGUUCAUUUCAUGGCUGAAAUAGUCGAACUAACCGAUCAAAGCCGAAUUUUGUAACUCUUUUUAUAUCAAUGAAUGCUUCACUAAGUAUUUGUUUAAUAUACAUGAAACUGUGUAGUUUUUGUUUAUUUUAAAAAAAUAUGUUUAAAUUGUGACAUACCUAAAUUAUAAACUCAAUUUAAUUUUUUUUAUAGAAAAAGCUAAAAAUUGAAGCUCCCUACCAUGAUUUGCUUAUUUCAAAAUUGACUUACUUUUUUUAUUUAUUGAAAUGUCAAUUCUUUUUUUUUUGAAGGUGCAAAAACACCAAGGAUUUAUAUAAAUUAAGGAUGAAACAUACAAGAAGAACCAAGAGGUUACAAGUUUCUAAAACGGUAGUUAGGUAGGCCUAACAUAUUCCUACCAUAUUCUAACCUUAGAAAGCUAGGAAGAAUAUUCCACCAAAGAUUUGAGCUAUGGUGUAUGCCAUGAUUAGCUAAGAUGUCAGUGCAAGUAUUCCCUUCUCUAUAGAUAUGCGAUAUCCUGAAGUUCAUGGUUGAUAACUUGACCUUGCAAUUUAACCAUUUGUUCAAUAAGGGCCAAGGAGCAGAGGCUUUGUUGUUGAAAAUAUCCACUACAAGAGAAGAGUCACAUUCUAACCAAAGAUUAUUCCAACCCUUAUCGAAGGCUAUGCCCACAUCAAGAAUGGCAGAACUUAGCUCGGCAUAGAUAGCCAAUUGAAUACCAAUGAAAGAGUUAAAACUCUCCAUGAAGUUACCGGAGGAAUCCCUGAAUAAACCACCCCCACUUGCUCUCCCCGGAAAUGUCAAUUCUCAUUUUACCCUUAUUUUUAGUGUUAUCUCUCUUCUUAUUUUCCCUUCAAUCAAACUCCAUAAUAUAAAUUUGUGCCUAUGUUAUUUUAAAUGUUUAUAUCAAUUAUUAUUUUCAUCUUUUAAACAUUUGUCAUGAAGUAAUAAAAAUUAAAAAAAUAUUAUCAUAAUAUAAAAAAUGUAUACAUAAAAUUUAUUUGUUCUUUAGUAAUAUAUAUGAUAAUAAAUAUUUAAAAAUAUAUAAAAAAGAACCAAAGCAAUCACAAUAUAAAAACAACAUUAGAUAUAUAUUUUUUUUGUAAUUUGCUUUAUAAAAAAUAAUGUUUCUACAUCGCCCAAACAAAAUUGAUUAGCUUAUAUUAGCUUUUAAGUAUGUGUUAUUUAAAAUCAGGCUUGAACAAUAUGUAACUACGUUUGAACUUUUAUGUAACUUCACAGCCCUUAUACAAUAAUGCAUUUAAUCUUUGAUUGCGAUGAGCUCUAUGUAUUAGUUUAUUUUAAAAUGUUCUAAAAUAUUAUUUUCGAUGCAUUUACAUGGGUUUGAUUUGUCACAUAGUUCAUCAUUAUUAAUCAAAUUAUACGAAGUCGGCAAUAAUGCUAAGCUAAUGAAUACAGCUUCUGGAACGGAAAUUUAUCCUUUGAAAAGUCAAAUCCACCUUCUUUGACCAUCGCUUGAAAUUAGACCAAAAGCUAUACUUUUGCUUUUAAAACCAAUUAAGCAGCCGAACAAGUAUUUCCAAUCGGAUUAUGUAUGAUUUCAUCAUUAUAUUCAUAAUAUCUUCUUAGGACUCUUUAGACUAUUUCACAUCAAUAUUCCAUCCACUAAAGUUUAAGUUAAGAUCCUUGACUCUAUAUCUUAUUGUUGGGGCCAAUCCAAUUUAUAUAGUUGAUUUUCAUUAAUCUAAUAACUAUAGUUGUAAAAUUGGUUCUUGACUUUUAUUUUUACAUUCUUUUUAACUAUUAUUCGUACUUGAUUAAUAUUGAAAGUAACUUUUUAUUUUUUAACAAAAAAACAUGAUAACUGCAAUUAAGUUAAAAAAAUCAUGAUAUAUUAUGAAGACUCAUUUAGAAACAAACCUUCAUCAUCUUCAUGUCAAAACUGUAUUACUCUUGAAAACAAAGUUACAACAUUAAAUCUUGAACUUAGUAAGAUAAGUAAGAGCAGUAAAAGUUUAAAUAGAAUCAUCAAUUAUCAACGACACUCAACAGACCGAAGAGGUCUUGGCUAUUCAAAAGGCCACGUUUCUAAGAAACCUAGUGUCCCAAUUAAGAUAAACUUUCACAAAGGAAGUAUCCUUGAUCAUAAACAUAAUAAUGAUAGAACUAGGAUACAUAACCAUCAACUCACAUGCACAUAUUGUAAACAUCACGGGCAUAGACCAAACACUUGCAAAAUUAGAAAAUAUGGUGUACCCCUUGGUCAUUAUAAAUGGAUUGAGAAAAGUGCUAACCAUAUAGGACCCAAAGAAAAUUGGGUACCUAAUAAAACUUAACAUGUUUUGCAAGAUAAUUUGGGAGCCACCUGCAACCUAUGGUAUUUGGAUAGCAGCUGCUCAAAACACAUGACGGGCGACAUAUCAAAAUUCUCUGUCCUUACUCCAAGGGACAAAGGAUAUGUCACAUAUGGUGAUAAUAACAAAGGAAGAAUUCUUGGAGUUGGUAGAAUUGGUAAGCCUNNNNNNNNNNNNNNNNNNNNNNNNNNNNNNNNNNNNNNNNNNNNNNNNNNNNNNNNNNNNNNNNNNNNNNNNNNNNNNNNNNNNNNNNNNNNNNNNNNNNCAAACCAAAGCAUAUGGUUUCUUCUGAUAGACCAUUACAACUACUACAUAUGGACUUGUUUGGCCCUCAAGGACAAAAAUUUAUGGUGGUAACUACUAUGCCCUCGUUAUAAUAGAUGAUUUUUCAAGAUACACUUGGACUCUAUUCUUAGUGCAUAAGAAUGAGGCAUUCGAAGGCUUUAGCAUUUAUGCUAAAAGAGUACAAAAUAAAAAAUCACUUAAAAUCGCUGCUAUAAGAAAUGAUUAUGGGGAGAAUUUCAAAACUCUUCUUUUGAAUAAUUCUGUGAUGAUCUUGGUAUCAAUCACAACUUUUCUGCUCCUAGAACANNNNNNNNNNNNNNNNNNNNNNNNNNNNNNNNNNNNNNNNNNNNNNNNNNNNNNNNNNNNNNNNNNNNNNNNNNNNNNNNNNNNNNNNNNNNNNNNNNNNUCUGGGCAGAUGCAGUAAGUACUGCUUGUUAUGUUUCGAACCGAGUUCUCAUAAGACCUAUUCUCAAGAAAACCCCCUAUGAACUCUUUAAAGGUAGAAAACCAAACAUUUCUCAUUUGCAUGUAUUUGGUUGUAAAUGUUUUGUUUUAAAUAAUGGAAAUGAUAACUUGGGUAAGUUUGAUGCAAAAGCAGAUGAAGACAUCUUCCUAGGCUACUCUCUUAUGAGUAAAGCUUACAGAAUUUUUAAUAAAAGAACACAAGCCAUGGAAGAAUUCAUUCAUGUAUUUUUUGAUGAAACCAAUGCUGAGAUAAAAGAUAUGAUAACCCUUGAUGAGGAGGAACUGUCAAGUUCUUCUUCAAAUGAAAUUUCUAUUAUUGAAUCUACAAUUGAUACUGAGCAAUUGAAAAUGAAUGAUAACUUACCAUCUCAAGAGGAGCAUACUCAUUAAGAUUUACCAAAAGAAUGGAGAACUCAUCGAUACCAUCCAAUUGACAAUAUUAUUACUGAAUUAAAUAUGUGCAUCACAACCCGACGAAUGCUUGAUAAAGCUUGUCUUAACAUGGCAUUCGUCUCUCAAAUCGAACCCAUCAAGAUUGAUGAAGCAAUUGAGGAUGAACACUGGAUUCUUGCUAUGGAAGAAGAAUUAAACCAGUUUGAGAGAAACAAAGUUUGGGAACUUGUUCCCAGACCUAAAAAUAGGCAUGUUAUUAGAACUCGGUAGGUAUUUAGAACUAAAUCUGAUGAAAAUGGUAUAAUAGUUAGAAAUAAAGCUAGACUAGUAGCCCAAGGAUACAAACAGGAAGAAGAUAUCGAUUUUGAUGAAACUUUUGCUCUGAUUGCUAGACUUGAAGCUAUUAGGCUAUUACUUGCAUAUGCUUGCUAUUUGAAUUUUCAGUUAUAUCAAAUGGAUGUAAAGAGUGAUUUUCUCAAUGGCUACAUUCAAGAAGAAGUGUUUGUUGAACACCCUCCUGGUUUUGAAGAUUACACCCUCUCUAUAGCUUAAAGCAAGCUCCUCGCGCAUGGUAUGAUCGUCUAACUAAAUUUCUACUUGAAAAGGUUUCAACAAAGGAAAGGUUGACACUACUCUCUUCAUAAAGAAAAUAAAUAAUCAUACUUUACUUGUUCAAAUUUAUGUAGAUGAUAUUACUUUCGGUUCUACUAAUGAGUUGUUAUGUAGUGAUUUUGGCAAUAUGAUGCCAAGAGAGUUUGAAAUGUCUAUGAUGGGGAAGUUAAAUUACUUCCUUGGAUUACAAAUCAAACAACUUGACAAUGGUAUUUUUGUAAGUCAAUCUAAAUAUUGCAAAGAUUUUCUAAAAAGAUUUGACAUGGACGGAUGCAAGCAAAUAACUACUCUUAUGAGAUCUGGAACUUACAUCGAUAUGGAUGAAGCAGGAAAACCCAUCGAGAUAUUAAAGUAUCGAGGUAUGAUUGGAUCUCUUUUAUACUUAACUGCCAGUAGACCUGAUAUCAUGUUUAGUGUGUGUAUGUGCGCUCGCUAUCAAUCCAAACCAAAAGAAUCACACUUAGUUGUUGUUAAGAUAAUCAUGAAAUAUCUUAAAGGCACAAUUAAUGUCGGACUGUGAUAUCCAAAGGAAAGUAUAUGUGACUUGGUUGGAUAUCCAUAUUCAAAUUUUGUAGGAUGCAAAACUGAGAGGAAAAGUACAAGUGGUACUUGUCAUAUUUUAGAGAAUGCUCUAGUUUUGUUGGUCAUGUAAGAAACAAGCAUGUGUAGCCCUAAGCACUGCUGAAGCUGAAUAUAUUGCAACAGGUAGUUGUUGCGCCCAAGUGUUGUGGAUUAAGCAACAAUUACGAGAUUAUGGUUUAGAUUUGGUUUGCACUCCUCUAAAGUGUCACAAAACUAGUGCAAUAAACUUCACAAAGAAUCCGGUUAUGCAUUCAAGAAGAAAACACAUUGAUAUAAGGCAUCAUUUCAUUAGGGACCAAUGUCCCAAAGAAUGAUGUGUCUGUAGAAUUUGUUGAUACUCAUAACCAACUAGCAGAUAUAUAUAUGUAUUUUUACAUUUUUUUUACUUUUUCAAACUCAUCUUCCCCACUCAACUCAGGCUGUCUCCUACUCAACCCUCUCAAAUCCUAAAAUCUUCGUUUUUGAUCCGUUUUAAGUGAUUUUUGUGUCUAUUCUUAUCACAUUUUCACUCCUAAACACUUUUAAACCUUCAUUUUCGUAUUUAGUAACCUAAAUCAAAAACCCCCAAAUCUCCAAAACCUCAAAACCUCAAACUUCAAAACCAAAAAUCAAUGGCUUCAUCUUUAAAAACCAAGAAGCAACACACCUCCACUACUCAAAAGAGGCGAGGAACUACUUCUAUUGAGUCCAACCCUCUGGAUUUGACAAAGCUUCUAGCUAAUUAGGAACAACGCAAAGUGUUUGAAGAACACUUCCAUGGACGCACUAUUUUCACUCCAAAAUUCGUGUUUCUACAAAUGGUGAAACAUAGGUGCCUCUAAAUCUUUGAGAAAGCCAAAUUGAUGUGGAAGUGAUCCAUAAAAUGUGUUUCAUCCAAGACCCUCGAACCUGCACCUUCAACCAUAGAACCGACAAGCCGACUAUUGCUGCUGAACCAUCUGAAUCUGAAGCUCCUAACCCUCCUGAACCACAACCGUUUGAGUUUCAUGGUCAAUCGUCGUCAUCUACUCCCAUGCCUACGAACCAAAUGAUUAUGGAUGAGUUGUUUUCUCUCCGAGGCUACAUCACUAACCGGAUGGAUGGCCUCACCUCUCCGAAUCAACAAAUCCAAUAUGAACUUCAUUGCCUCUUCUCUAGGAUGGAUAGCAUGGUUAUUGAUGAAGACAAUUCGGAGCCUGAGUCUUAGAAUAUUUUUUGUUAGGAUCUUCUGGUUGUAUUAUUUUCAAAAUUUGGACAAAGUUUUAAUUCUGAUUAUUUAUUGUUUUUAAAGAUAUUGCUGCAUAUUCCUGGACAAGUUACUUUAUGAUGUUUUGUGUAUAAUUGUUCCAUGCCUGGAUUCAUAUUUGAAACAUCUUAUUUAUACAUUGCAAUACUUUCUUAUCUAUAUCUUAAUCCAUACAUGAGUAUAUGAUAUCAUAUUGAUAUAUCUUGAUUAUAUAAGUGUAUGUAUGCUAUAUAUAUUGUGCUGGAAUCUCUUUGCUUUUCUACUUUUUGAUGAAGUCAAAAGGGGGAGAAAAGUUGGGGGAAGUGUAUUUUCUGUCAAAUUAUUUCAGGUACAUUACUCCAAAAGAAAGGGGAGCAUACAAGAUAGGGGGCAUACUCAAGUCAAACUUCAACAUAUCUCAAAGUAUGCUGCUCUCAAGAAAACUACACUGUCAAAAGAUCUUGGUUUGUCAUCAUCAAAAAGUGGGAGAUUGUGAAGAUGAUCUUUGCUCCUGACCUCGGCAAGAUUUUGAUGAAGACACCAACAUCACCAAAAAUAAGAAAAGGAAUAUUACUUAUGAAGACCAAGAAGAUUAAAGCUUCAAGAAAAUUAGUCUAAGUCUAAUUAAGUACUUGUAUCAUAUACUCUUUAAUAUACUAAAGUAGUAAUGGUCAAAAUAUUUUAAAAGAAAUUGAAACACUUCAAGUUUUAAAUGAAAACAUUUUUCAAAAUAAUGUGUAACAAGUUACUGAAAUUUGAGUAAUAGGUUACUGAAAUUUGAGUAAUAAGUUACAUGAGUUAGAAUCAGUUAUCCAACAAUAUUUAAAUUGGAGUAACCGAUUACUCAAAUUUGAGUAACUGAUUACUCUAAGUGAAUUUUGAAUUCAGUGUUGGACAAAGAGUUUGAGUUACCGAUUAUUCAAUGUAAUUUUUCAAAAUUUCACGUUUGGGUAACUGAUUACCCACUUAUUGUAAUCGAUUAUUGAGAGCUGUUACAUCAGUUUUUCAGAUUUGAAACUCAAGGGUUUUUAUCCCAAACAAAAUGCGUUCAUUUCAAACAAUUUCUAUUCUUUCAUAAAGGCACAAUGACCGGGCAAUAAUGAAUUGCUACGCUGAAUAAGGCUUCUGGAAUUGAAUAUUUAUUCUUUGAAAACUCAAAUCCACCUUCUUUGACCAACGCUUGAAAUUCUUUACACAAGACUAAAAGCUCUACUUUAAUUUUCAAUCAUAUUUCAUACAAUCAUAAGUGACCAAUGGAACACGGGAAUCAAAGGUUAGAGAAAAAAUUAUAGAAACCUUUUCACCAAACAAUAAACUAUUAAAAAAUUAGAGAAAAAAUUAUAGAAACCUUUUCACCAAACAAUCACCUAUUAAAAAAUUAUAAUCAUUGCCCAGAGUGUUGUAAAAACUGGUUUAUACUGACUGGUUCAACGAGUAAGCUGGUUCAACAGGUAAAUUGGUGAAUCGAUCCCUAUAUCUGUGUGGUAUAAUAAUUAUAUCUAUCAUACUAUCAUACUGGUCAAAACGUGCAAAAUUGAUCGGUUUUCAAUUGAACUAUACUGGUCAUAUCUGCCAGUUUUAUUUAAAAAUAAUUUUUUAAUGAAAAUAAAAAAUUAUUGGUCUCUUAUUGAUUUUUCAACAUUAAUGUUAAUAUAUUAUAUAUUUAUAUUUAAUUUCACUGAUAUGCGGUUUAAUUAGUUAACUACCGGUUGAAUCGUUAUGUCACUAUACUGGUACCCUAACCGACUUGGUGAAUAUUAAUAACACUGCCUACUUUAAAGCAUUAAUGUUUUUCAUUUCCUUUCAAAUAACAGAACGUUGUAUUAAUAGUUAAAUAAUAAAUAAAAAUGGAACGGUUUGUGCCUGUUUAUAAAUAUUAGUUAGUAUUUCGUGGAAUAAAUGAGUUUUUCUUUAAUUUUAUUUAUUUAUUCAAUUAUUUAGUAGUUAAUAAUUAUUUAUUGGUCAAAAAAUUUAUCAUGUUUGUAAAGAGUAUAAUGUGAUAUAAGAUAUAUUUUUAUUGUAAUCCAUCAUAAUUUAGUAAGAGAUUUAAGAGUAAAAUGGUAAAUACAUGCAUUUAUUUGAAUGUAAAAACUUAGAGAUUAAAAAAACUGUCGAAAAUAAAAAGAUCUAUAACUAGCCUUUAGACGUGGCAUGGAAUUUUGUGAUUUCUAAUUUUAUAAAAGUUAUUUACCAGUCAUAUAAUUACUUGUUUUAAUUUGGUCAUUCAAAUUAAAUAAAAUUCAAUAGUACAUAUUAAUUGUUCUCAAUUUUUUAAUUGACAAGUACUCUAACAGGAGUCACCUCCUAUAUAUAUCAAACUAGCAAGUUAUUUGUGCAUUUGUCGGGACAAUAUUUUUUUGCUGCAUGAUUAAGAAAACAUAUAUUACAUGUGCAUUCAUAUGAUUAAGAANNNNNNNNNNNNNNNNNNNNNNNNNNNNNNNNNNNNNNNNNNNNNNNNNNNNNNNNNNNNNNNNNNNNNNNNNNNNNNNNNNNNNNNNNNNNNNNNNNNNCACAUGAAUCAACAUCUUUUAAUUGAGAAUAAAGACUCACAGUCAGAGAGAAUGUUUAGACCAACUCAACACGUCCAUGUAUGCAUUGGGCCUGUGUGAUUCCAAUAACUCGACAAUUAUUCCCAAGACUCAAUGACAGUAUAUGAAUUUAGGUAUUGUUAGAUGAUGAUUAUUGUUUUUGGUUGUGUGAUUUUUAGUGGGAUGAUUUUGGAUUGUUGUAUGAAAGGUAAUGUUGAGGGUAAAAAAUGAUUGAUGAAUGAAUUUGUUUGAUUGUUGUGUAUAGGAGAUUUUGAUGUUGGUGUGGAUGAGAGAUUUUGUGGUUGUUGUGGAUGAGAGAUUUUGUGUAUGGAAGAUGAUAUUUAGGGAGAUUAUGGAUCAGUUAGGAAAGAAAUGGUAUGAGCAUUUUUGGCUUUUUUCUCCACCGUCUCUUAAGGGGAAGACCCCAUCUAUUUAUAGCCAAAGCCAUAUGAACACCAAUUAAUUCCUAGGAGAACAUUAAGGGAUUAUGAUUUUUUUUCUAAUUCUCAAUCUGAUUUUUAUCACACUUAAAUGCAAGUUUUAAUAGCCAAAUUUUCAUACUCAAUCAAUGUAUUUAAUUCCAGCACAUGGCCAAAUUGCAAAAAAAAUCAAUCAACACCCAAAUUUUUUCAAAAUUCAAAUCUAUGAAAAUGGAUUAAAUAUAUGUCAUUAUGAUGGAUCGUUCAUUAAAUAUCCAUAUCUCCUUUAUCUCUUUAUCUUCUAGAAAUAAUUUUCUUUGGAAUCAAUUGAAAUAAAAUUCAUUAAGUGCUAAUGAAUUCAUUUAUUUGAUUUGAUUACCCCUUUUUCUAACAAAAGUCAAUUCAUGGAAUCUAAUCGGAUUCACAUAAAAUAUAUAUUUGAGUUGAUGAAAUUUGUAUAAAAAAUAUUUAUUGAAAAUUUGGUUUUUUUUUUUGAAGUAUUUUUGGGUCGGACAAAAUUGGAUAUUCACAGCUGUCCCUCUUUACCUGUUGCUUAUUGGACAUAACUCAAACUGAAGUUUGAGGAGUUGUCCUGAUAAGUAAUAGGUAAAGAAAUGAAUACUAAUUUUGUUAAGGCUCAGAAAAGGGCCAUUAGGACAGGUGCCGAAUUUGAUGAAGCAGGUCGAUGCUCUGCUGGUGGAGCAGGGAUUUGUUGAGGCAAUUCCCACGUUUGCCAUGAUGAACUAGGGAUUUGUUGAGGCACCCAUGCUGCCAAACAAUUCAGGGAUUUGCUGAGACACCCAUGAUGCCAAAACGAUUCAGGGAUUUGUAGAGGCACCCAUGCUGCCAAAACGAUCAGGGAUUUGUUGAGACACCCAUGCUGCCGAAACGAUUCAGGGAUUUGNNNNNNNNNNNNNNNNNNNNNNNNNNNNNNNNNNNNNNNNNNNNNNNNNNNNNNNNNNNNNNNNNNNNNNNNNNNNNNNNNNNNNNNNNNNNNNNNNNNNUUUGGUUUGUUUGUUUAUGUUUAUUAGAGAAAUGAUGUAGAGAUACAUGUUUGAAUGUUUUGCAAUGAAAUGACUUGUUUAUGUUUAUUGGAAGAAUAGUGUAGGGAUGCAUGUUUGAAUGUUUGGUUAUAUAAAAUGCACUAUUUUGUUUGUUUGUUUUUAUUAGAAGAAUAAUACGUGGAUGCAUGUUUGAAUGUUUGGUUAUAUGCAAUGCAAUAUUUUUUUUUGUUUUUUUGUUUUCUUUGUGCUUAUAGGAGAAUGAUUUGAAUAUGCAUGUAUGAAUGCCUAAUUAUAUGUAAUGAAUGACUAUGCCAUAUUUUUUGUUUGUGCUAUAAUGAUUGGUAUAUGAAUGUGACUAUGCAUUGAAAAAUAUAGUUAUGCUUUAAUGUAUGUAUGUCAUGUAUGACAUGAGUACUUUAUAUUUUGUUUGAAUGAGUAAGAUAUGUGCACAAAUGUUCUAAUGCAUCACUUAAGGUUCAGUUUUUUUUUUUUAUCUUGUGUAUGAAAUUCAUCAAAUUUUGUAGACUCAACUGAAGUGGUCCUUGUUCUUGAUGUUGAUUGGUACCAUCAAAAUCUGCCCCAGUUUACUUGAAGAUGUCUUUCCUUUAAGGUGAUCCCUAAACCGCUUCACUAUGAUCCUGUGGACAAUGACUAAACCAAACUAUUUUGCCCGAGUGCAGGUUUGCAUAAAAUUUCUCUCAAAAGUGUUGAUGCUUUUUGUAACAGCAAAAAUUGCCCUAGUGUGCAUGUUAUGAACUCUUGUAGGCAUCUGUCGGGAAUUCUCUCAUUAGGAUCUCAAGUCACCUUCAUAGGUUUUCGACUUAGGAUCAUUCACCUUUUUCUAGGUUGCCCAUGUGGGUUUUCAACCUAACACUCUUUUGUUUUCUUUUGUUUUUGUUUUUUUUUCUUUUCUUUGAACACCCCUGGAUGUCUUGGCUCGAUGGGAAGUAGAAGCCUUGAACAAUGAGUCGGUCUUUCUUCAAUAUGCUUGAAAAUCGAAGAUUUUUCUUGUGUUUGAUUGAGAGAUUUUAACUUCUUGUGAUUGAUUCAACUAAUACAAUCAUGAGAAAUCACUUAUGCAUUGCUCCAGUUUUGGACUCCUUUUAAUUUUUCACAAGAAAAUUAGAUCAACCCAAAAACUGCCCCAGUUUUGGCUUCUUCUGACUUUCCACUAGAAAAUGUGAUCAACACCAAAAUUUGCCACAGUUUGGUCUUCUUGUGACUUUCCACUACCCCAGUGUGAGAUAAUCUGAGUCAUUCUUAUCCAUAUUGAUUUGGUAAGCUUAGAUUGUCAAGUCCUAGGCCAUGAAUCAUCUUAAAAUAUGCCCCAGUUUGAGAAGCUUCCAAUUUUCCAUUGCCUUUAUUGCUCUUUAUUUCAUGCAUAACUUUUUUCUAAAACAAUGAUCAUGCAAAUUUUGGUAAGUGUUUGGGCUAUGAGUGGUGAUGUGGUAGUGAUGAUAAGAUUUGGGUUUGGCUUGGAUAGUUAUGGUGGUGAUGAUGAUAAAAUUCAAUUUAGGUUUGGCUAAUGUAAAUAUGAUGGUGGCUAUGAUAGAAUUGAAUUUGUCUUUGGCUUUAAGAGUGAUGAUGAAGGUAUGAAGGAUACAUGGUUGAUAUUUGAUUUGUGUUUGGGUUUGUGUUGAUAUGAUGAUGAUAAUAAUGAAUGUUAACUUAUGCAUUAAAAAUGAGAUAUUUUAUCGAAAUUUUACGAGACUUGUGGAGUCAGCAUUUUUUUGGGUAUUAAUGCAUAUCUUAGGCAAAUAAGUCUUCAACAAGGUAUUUUUAGACUUGUAUCAUGGCUAGGCUAAGGUUUUUCAAGAAAAGGAUAUAAGGCUCAAAAUUUGUGUUUCCCUUACCCACCAUUCACCUUUCUUCUUUAUCCUACUUUCAACAUUUUUCAAACAUGACAUUCAACUAUUAAGAGAAUUUUUCAGGUUUUGAUAAGGAUGGCCUAUGAUUAAGGCGAUAAUUUUUUCAUGAAGGGUUCCUUUUGUGAUCCUUGAUAUUGCACUUUUGCCCUAACUUUUGCCUGAGGUAUUAAUUGAGGAUUCUCAGCGGUUUUUUUUAUUUUUUUUGGCAAAGAACGUUCUUUGUAUUUUUCUUUUCUUCCGGUCACAUGAUUGAUGUAAAAGGAACUCUAUAAGUUUAUUUUUAAAUGUUCUAAAAAUUAUGAUAAAGAUAUAUAUAUAAAGUUUUUUAUACUACCAAUUCAUCAUCAACCAUUUAUAUUUAAUUAUAAUAUUGAUUUUUAAAUAUACAUAAUACAAAUGAAUAGUAAAUAAUAUAUUCUCUAUUCAUAAAUGUUUCUGUUUCCACUGAAUAUUUCAUUCUAUAUUAUUCCAUAUGACAUUUAUAUGGGUUCGUUUUCUGGCAUAUAGUUCCUCACUAUUCAUCAAAUUAUACGACCCAGCAAUAAUGAAUUGCUACGCUGAAUAAGGCUUCUAGAAUUGAAUAUUUAUCCUUUAAAUCCACCUUCUUUGACCAACGCUUGAAAUUCUUUACACAAGACGAAAAGCUCUACUUUUUUUCAACCAUAUUCAUACGUGACUAAUGGAACACGGGAAUCAGAGGUUAGAGAAAAACAUUAUAGAAAUUUUUUCACCAAACAAUCACCUAUUAAAAAUUUAUAGUCAUUGCCUAAUUUAAAGCAUUAUGUUUUUCAUUUCCUUCCAAAUAACAGACUGUGUAUUAAUAAUUUUAUCAAAUAAAAUGGAACCGUUUGUGCCUGUUUAUAAAUUUUAGUUAGUAUUGCGCGGAAUGCAUGUGUUUUUCUUUGAUAUUAUUAUUUAUUCAAUUAUUUAGUAGUUAAUAAUUAUUUAUUGAUCAAAAGUUGUAUAUUGUUUGUAAAAAGUAUAAUGUGAUAUAUCAUAUUUUUUAUUGUAAUCCAUCAUAAUUUAGUAAGAGAUUUAAGAUUAAAAUGGUAAGUACAUGCAUUUAUUUGAAUGUAAAAACUUAGAGAUUAUAAAAACUGUCGUACCUUUAGAUGUAGCAUGGAUUUUUGUGAUUUCUAAUUUUACAAAAAUUAGUUAUUGGUCAUAGGAUCACUUCUUUUAAUCUUGAUUAUUCAAAUAAAAUCCAUAUAUAUAUAUUCUAGUUGGCUUUUGAAUCUGAUCCAAUUUUAGUUGAUAGGAAAUAGAUUAUCUCCUCAACAAACCAUAUUGAAGAUAUCUUCCCCUUUUUAGCUUUGAUUUAUCCCUUUUGAUAGGAAAUAGAUUAUCUCCUCAACUUGGCUUUUGCCUCACUUUCCUUCUUUUCUUCUUCAACCUUAGCCCUUAGUCUCUUUUGCUCCUCAUUGACUUGUUUAGGGCUCAGAGGGGCUAACGCUACCAUGUGACCAUGGUGUAUAAAUGAGACUUUGUUCAACUAUAUAUAUAUAUUUAUUAGAAAAUAUCAUAACUAACAAACUUUUUAUAUAACAAGAUCUAAGUUUUGUUUAACUAUAUAUUUAUUAUAUCAACAAAAUCUACAAACCAUUUAACCAAUUCAGGUGAUGAUGUUUAUGAAUGAUUGAUAAUCUUCUUGGGCAGGUGGAGAAAUCAAGUAUGUGUUACACAAAAUAGAAUCAAUUGAUGAGGCAAACUUGGGAUAUAACUACAGCAUAGUUGGGGGAGUUGGGUUUCCAGACACAGUAGAGAAGAUAUCUAUUGAAACCAAAUUUUUUGAAGGACCCAAUGAAGGAUCAAUUGGAAAGGUGACUACUAACAUUCUAACCAAAGGAGAUGCUCAACCCAAGGAAGAAGAGGGCAAGGCUGCCAAGGCAAGAGUAGAGAUGGCAAUAAAAACCGAACCCGUGGGUACCCGUCCGAACCCAACCCGAAUUUAACGGGGAAAACCCAUUGUGACUGGGUUCGGGUUUGGGUAAAACCCGAUCCCAAUUUUCGGGUUCGGGUUUGGUACAACUAAUACCCUACUCCGAACUUGCCCCAAACCCGUUAGAUAUAAUACUAGGCAUACCUAAAGUCCUAAAUUAGAAAUAGAAAUAGUCAAAUAGUAGCCUGCGUGAANNNNNNNNNNNNNNNNNNNNNNNNNNNNNNNNNNNNNNNNNNNNNNNNNNNNNNNNNNNNNNNNNNNNNNNNNNNNNNNNNNNNNNNNNNNNNNNNNNNNUAGUCUUUGUGAUGCUAUUUCUACCCAUGCUAAACUUUUAUUACAAAUAAACAAACAUUUAUAGAACAAAGUCUAAGUUUUGCUCAACUCUAUAUAUAUUUAUUAGAAAAUAGCACAACUAACAAACAUUUUACAUAACAAGAUCUAAGUUUUUUGUUUAACUGUAUAUUUAUUAUAUCAACUGUCUAAAAACCAUUUAACAAAUUAAAAUGAUGAUGUUUAUGGAUGUUUGAUAUUUUGAAUGGGCAGGUGGGGAAACCAAGUAUGUGUUACACAAAAUUGAAUCAAUUGAUGAGGCAAACUUGGGAUAUAACUACAGCAUAGUUGGGGGAGUUGGGUUGCCAGACACAGUAGAGAAGAUAUCUAUUGAAACCAAAUUAUUUGAAGGACCCAAUGGAGGANNNNNNNNNNNNNNNNNNNNNNNNNNNNNNNNNNNNNNNNNNNNNNNNNNNNNNNNNNNNNNNNNNNNNNNNNNNNNNNNNNNNNNNNNNNNNNNNNNNNCCAAUGAAGAAGAGGGAAAGGCUGCCAAGGCAAGAGGUGAUGCUUUUUUCAAGGCCAUUGAGAGUUACCUUUCUGCCCAUCCUGAGUACAACUAAAUUGAAUUCUAUUAGUGAAGAAGAGUUUCCUUAUAUAAAGUUUUCUUCCAUGUUAUCCGGUUUGUGCUUUUAAGUUUGCCUCUUAUGUAAUGAUUAAUAAGUGCUCUUCUAUUCUCUUUCCUUUUUCUACAAAAGUGUGAGAUUAUGUGAGUUUGUAUUUCAUUUCAUCAAUAAAUCAAUACAAAAAAAUUACAAGCACCUUCGUAAUCAUGAUGGUUAAAAUCGAAAUUUUACUUAAGAUUGGGAUGGAGUCAAAUAUCAUAAAUGUAUGAUCAUAACAUGAUUCAUAAGAUUUUA
rnacentral:lncRNA from 1 species